CUUCUGUUUUUCUGAGUAGAAAAUGGCACUUUGCACUUUCCUCAUUUUUUUCUCUAGAUGAUUAGGUUGAGAGAAUGAAAGGAUACCAUUUUAACCCAAUAUCCUGCCAGCGGCUGCUAAGAAGGAUACCAAUUAAUUCUAAUUGUAGUGGCAGCUUUUAGGAUGUUGACUCUUCUUUAUUAAGAUUAUAACCAGGAACUCAGUGCACAUAGGUCACAAUGUAGCUGUCAAAUGGCAGCAACUUCAAUCAAUACCCACCUGGAUUGGAUGCAACCUGAUGACCUAGAGGACGUGGAGAGAAGGUGGCUACCUGCAAACCGGGAAGAGAACUCUCACCAGAAACUGAACACCGCCAGAAAGUGAAUUCCCAGCCACCAGAAAUGUGAGAAGAUACAUUUCUUUGUUUAAUCUAUCCAGUCUAUUGUAUUUACAGCCUGAGCAGACUAAGACAACUAGUAAUACAAUGUGUCUAUU
rnacentral:lncRNA from 1 species